rnacentral:rRNA from 1 species
CUGAUGCGUUGUUGGGUAGGGGAGCGUUCUGUAAGCCUGUGAAGGUGUGUCGUGAGGCAUGCUGGAGGUAUCAGAAGUGCGAAUGCUGACAUAAGUAACGAUAAAGCGGGUGAAAAGCCCGCUCGCCGGAAGACCAAGGGUUCCUGUCCAACGUUAAUCGGGGCAGGGUGAGUCGACCCCUAAGGCGAGGCCGAAAGGCGUAGUCGAUGGGAAACGGGUUAAUAUUCCCGUACUUGGUGUUACUGCGAAGGGGGGACGGAGAAGGCUAUGUUGGCCGGGCGACGGUUGUCCCGGUUUAAGCGUGUAGGUGUGUGUUCCAGGUAAAUCCGGUUCACUUUAACACUGAGGCGUGAUGACGAGGCACUACGGUGCUGAAGCAACAAAUGCCCUGCUUCCAGGAAAAGCCUCUAAGCAUCAGGUAACAUCAAAUCGUACCCCAAACCGACACAGGUGGUCAGGUAGAGAAUACCAAGGCGCUUGAGAGAACUCGGGUGAAGGAACUAGGCAAAAUGGUGCCGUAACUUCGGGAGAAGGCACGCUGACAC